UACGUAGGGGGCAAGCGUUGUCCGGAAUUAUUGGGCGUAAAGAGCGUGUAGGCGGCCAGAUAAGUCCGCUGUGAAAUCUCGAGGCUCAACUUCGAGCUGUCGGUGGAAACUAUCUGGCUAGAGUCCGGAAGAGGAGAAUGGAAUUCCUGGUGUAGCGGUGAAAUGCGCAGAUAUCAGGAAGAACACCCGUGGCUAAGGCGGCUCACUGGCCCGGAACUGACGCUGAGGUGCGAAAGCGUGGGGAGCAAACAGG
rnacentral:rRNA from 1 species